GUCCCUAUGGUCUAGUGGUGAGGACUCCUGACUUUCUAUCAGGCAGCGCCGGUUCGAGUCCGGCUAGGGAUACCA
rnacentral:tRNA from 1 species